AGAGUUGAUUAUGGCUCAGGAUGAACGCUAGCGGCAGGCUUAACACAUGCAAGUCGAGGGGCAACGCGAGUAGCAAUACUUGGCGGCGACCGGCGCGAAGGGUGCGUAACGCGUGAGCAACAUGCCCGUAUCGAGGGGGAUAAUCCGAGGGAAACUUGGUCUAACUACCCCAUAGUAAUUUUGUAAGGCAUCUUAUAAGAUUUAAAGCUUUGGUGGAUACGGAUUGGCUCGCGUGACAUUAGCUGGAUGGUAAGGUAACGGCUUACCAUGGCUAUGAUGUCUAGGGGUUCUGAGAGGAAGGUCCCCCACACUGGAACUGAGACACGGUCCAGACUCCUACGGGAGGCAGCAGUGAGGAAUAUUGGACAAUGGAUGGAAAUCUGAUCCAGCCAUGCCGCGUAGAAGGAAGAAGGUCCUAUGGAUUGUAAACUUCUUUUGUAUGGGAGCAAUAAGGCCUACGAGUAGGUUGAUGAGAGUACCAUACGAAUAAGCACCGGCUAACUCCGUGCCAGCCGCCGC
rnacentral:rRNA from 1 species